AUGAUACUAAUAACUAAUAAGUUAAGAUGUUGCUAUUUUAAGACUAGUGAUGGUCAAGUUACAUUUGGAGGGAAGAAUACGGAAGAGGAAGGUAGGAAGAAGGGAAGUUAUGCUGCUCUUCGAGUUGUCACCACUGCCAUGGCAGUGUUGCUAACAAACAUCACCAUGAAGAGCCUUGAAUUGGUUUCAUGCUGGAAGAAAUGA